CAAACCCCUGGGGAAUGUUUUGUCUGCGCACAUGGGAGAUAGAAAAUGGCAGAGGUCCUGAUUUUAUUGUUGGUGCAACAAGAGUAUGGAGAUGGACUCUACCCGUCCUGGACCCCUCUUUGGUGGUGCCACUGUCUAAAACUGCAGCAAAGUAAUGAAAGGAGAACCCCUGACCACCUCACCGCCUUUGAUGAAAUGACUGCAACUGCUGCCUUGAGAGUCAUGAAUAUUUGAAAAGCAGCAGGAUUUGGCACCUGCCCACACCGACCAUGCUAUCACUGCACUGGAUGAGAGACAUCAGAACCAACAAUUCAGAUGAGCUGAAGGCUGCUAUUAAAGCAAACUGGGUUUCCUGAACACCUCAGCAGGGAGCAAGGAGCCCCAACCAAGAACUGAGUUCUGAUACUGUACAUUAAAUGGACAUACUGUUCAGUAGAACCAAAAAACUUGUUUGUCGUCUGAUGUAAGACUCAAAUUUUCUGAAAAAUUAUUUUCUUUUUAUUAGCUGUAAACCAUAAUCAUCAAAAUAAACACAAAUAAUCUCUUAAAAUAUA